GGAGCAGUGUAUCUUUGUGGUGACUAGGGAGUCCACCUUCUCAGUCUCUCUGCUGCUAGGGAAAGAAGAGUGGUGUUUCACCUGAGCUCCUGGUCUGUGUACCUGCUCCUCUGGCUGCUGUGGAGGGAAGAGCAGGAAAGGGUAAGGUAGAACAGGAAAGGGUAAGGUAGAACAGGAAAGGGUAAGGUAGAACAGGAAAGGGUAAGGUAGAGCAGGAAAGGGUACGGUAGAACAGGAAAGGGUAAGGUAGAGCAGGAAAGGGUAAGGUAGAAUAGGAAAGGGUAAGGUAGAAUAGGAAAGGGUAAGGUAGAGCAGGAAAGGGUAAGGUAGAACAGGAAAGGGUAAGGUAGAGCAGGAAAGGGUAAGGUAGAACAGGAAAGGGUAAGGUAGAGCAGGAAAGGGUAAGGUAGAACAGGAAAGGAUAAGGUAGAGCAGGAAAGGGUAAGGUAGAGCAGGAAAGGGUAAGGUAGAGCAGGAAAGGGUAAGGUAGAGCAGGAAAGGGUAAGGUAGAACAGGAAAGGGUAAGGUAGAGCAGGAAAGGGUAAGGUAGAGCAGGAAAGGGUAAGGUAGAGCAGGAAAGGGUAAGGUAGAGCAGGAAAGGGUAAGGUAGAACAGGAAAGGGUAAGGUAGAGCAGGAAAGGGUAAGGUAGAGCAGGAAAGGGUAAGGUAGAGCAGGAAAGGGUAAGGUAGAACAGGAAAGGGUAAGGUAGAGCAGGAAAGGGUAAGGCAGAGCAGGAAAGGGUAAGGUAGAGCAGGAAAGGGUAAGGUAGAGCAGGAAAGGGUAAGGUAGAGCAGGAAAGGGUAAGGUA